UACGUAGGCAGCGAGCGUUGUUCGGAAUUACUGGGCGUAAAGAGUGUGUAGGCGGUGCUCUAAGUUCGGUGUGAAAUCUCCCGGUUUAACUGGGAGGGUGCGCCGGAAACUGGAGUGCUCGAGCGUGGGAGAGGAAAGCGGAAUUCCUGGUGUAGCGGUGAAAUGCGUAGAUAUCAGGAGGAACACCUGCGGUGUAGACGGCUUUCUGGACCAUUGCUGACGCUGAGACACGAAGCGUGGGUAGCAAACAGGA
rnacentral:rRNA from 1 species